rnacentral:rRNA from 1 species
CGGCACGCCUAACACAUGCAAGUCGAACGAAGUAGCAAUACUUAGUGGCAGACGGGUGAGUAACAUGUAGGUAUCUGCCCUUUGGCCUGGAAUAACACGAGGAAACUUGUGCUAAUACCGGAUAAGUCUUUACGGAGAAAGCUUUAUGCACCAUUGGAUGAGCCUGCACUUGAUUAGUUUGUUGGUGGGGUAAUGGCCUACCAAGACUGUGAUCAAUAGCUGAUUUGAGAGGAUGAUCAGCCACAUUGGGACUGAGACACGGCCCAAACUCCUACGGGAGGCAGCAGUGGGGAAUCUUGCACAAUGGAGGAAACUCUGAUGCAGCGAUGCCGCGUGAGUGAAGAAGGCCCUUGGGUUGUAAAGCUCUUUCGUCGGGGAAGAAAAUGACUGUACCCGAAUAAGAAGGUCCGGCUAACUUCGUGCCAGCAGCCGCGGUAAUACGAAGGGACCUAGCGUAGUUCGGAAUUACUGGGCUUAAAGAGUUCGUAGGUGGUUGAAAAAGUUGGUGGUGAAAUCCCAGAGCUUAACUCUGGAACUGCCAUCAAAACUUUUCAGCUAGAGUAUGAUAGAGGAAAGUAGAAUUUCUAGUGUAGAGGUGAAAUUCGUAGAUAUUAGAAAGAAUACCGAUUGCGAAGGCAGCUUUCUGGAUCAUUACUGACACUGAGGAACGAAAGCAUGGGUAGCGAAGAGGAUUAGAUACCCUCGUAGUCCAUGCCGUAAACGAUGUGUGUUAGACGUUGGAAAUUUAUUUUCAGUGUCGCAGCGAAAGCGAUAAACACACCGCCUGGGGAGUACG